rnacentral:tRNA from 1 species
CGGCACGUAGCGCAGCCUGGUAGCGCACCGUCAUGGGGUGUCGGGGGUCGGAGGUUCGAAUCCUCUCUCGCCGACCA